rnacentral:rRNA from 1 species
AGUGAACGCUGGCGGUAGGCCUAACACAUGCAAGUCGAACGGCAGCACAGUAAGAGCUUGCUCUUACGGGUGGCGAGUGGCGGACGGGUGAGGAAUACAUCGGAAUCUACUUUUUCGUGGGGGAUAACGUAGGGAAACUUACGCUAAUACCGCAUACGACCUACGGGUGAAAGCAGGGGAUCUUCGGACCUUGCGCGAUUGAAUGAGCCGAUGUCGGAUUAGCUAGUUGGCGGGGUAAAGGCCCACCAAGGCGACGAUCCGUAGCUGGUCUGAGAGGAUGAUCAGCCACACUGGAACUGAGACACGGUCCUGACUCCUACGGGAGGCAGCAGUGGGGAAUAUUGGACAAUGGGCGCAAGCCUGAUCCAGCCAUACCGCGUGGGUGAAGAAGGCCUUCGGGUUGUAAAGCCCUUUUGUUGGAAAAGAAAAGCAGCAGGUUAAUACCCCGCUGUUCUGACGGUACCCAAAGAAUAAGCACCGGCUAACUUCGUG